UACAGGGGGGUGCUAGCGUUGUUCGGAAUUACUGGGCGUAAAGGGCGCGUAGGCGGCCUUGUAAGUCAGAUGUGAAAUCCCCGGGCUUAACUCGGGACGUGCAUUUGAAACUGCGAGGCUAGAGUGCAGUAGAGGUUGGUGGAAUUCCCAGUGUAGAGGUGAAAUUCGUAGAUAUUGGGAGGAACACCGGUGGCGAAGGCGGCCAACUGGGCUGCAACUGACGCUGAGGCGCAAAAGCGUGGGGAUCAAACAGG
rnacentral:rRNA from 1 species